UGCGCAGGUGGGCUUGUAAGUCAGUGGUGAAAUACUGCCGCUUAACGGUAGAACUGCCAUUGAUACUGCAAGUCUUGAGUAUGGUUGAGGUGGGCGGAAUGUGUUGUGUAGCGGUGAAAUGCAUAGAUAUGACACAGAACUCCAAUUGCGAAGGCAGCUUACUAAGCCAUUACUGACGCUGAGGCACGAAAGCGUGGGGAGCGAACAGGAUUAGAUACCCUGGUAGUCC
rnacentral:rRNA from 1 species